CACUGGAGAAGAAGCCAGAAGAAAAAAAACAAAAAAAAAACAGAAGGAACUCGAGGCAGGUUAGGCCACUGACUCUGCAAGUCUGGCAGCUGGCGAAAGUCCUGCGUUCCCUGGCUUGUGACUUGGCUGCCCUCGGGCAGCGGUGAGGAGGACACAAUUUCCCCCUUUCCUGCCAUGAUAGCCCCUGCCCCCACCGUGGCACCUCAGCCCUCCACCUGUCCAGGUUGCACCACAAUCGUGAACCUCAAAUUAGCAGGGUUGAGAAGUCACGUGCAGCCUUGGUGGGCCCUAUAUAAGUUGGAAAAGAAGUCUGAUUCACACAAAUCCGCAUUUAAAUCUGGUUCUCUGCACUUA